GACGAACGCUGGCGGCGUGCUUAACACAUGCAAGUCGAACGGAAAGGCCUGCUUUCCCUUGUGGAUUGCGGGUACUCGAGUGGCGAACGGGUGAGUAACACGUGAGUGAUCUGCCCCCAACUUGGGUAUAAGCCUGGGAAACUGGGUCUAAUUCCCGAUAGGACUGCAGGGUGGUGCCUGUGGUGGAAAACGAUUUUCUGGUGGUUGGGGAUGAGCUCGCGGCCUAUCAGCUUGUUGGUGGGGUAAUGGCCUACCAAGGCGGCGACGGGUAGCCGGCCUGAGAGGGUGGACGGCCACAUUGGGACUGAGAUACGGCCCAGACUCCUACGGGAGGCAGCAGUGGGGAAUAUUGCACAAUGGGCGGAAGCCUGAUGCAGCGACGCCGCGUGGGGGAUGACGGCCUUCGGGUUGUAAACUCCUUUCGACCGCGAGGAAGCCACCUGGUUGGAAGGGUGGUGACGGUAGUGGUAGAAGAAGCACCGGCUAACUACGUG
rnacentral:rRNA from 1 species